CGAUCCACGCUCAAGGAGGAUGUGGGUGAUGAAGGAGAAGAGGAAAAAGAAGUUGUAUCCUAUAGCAUUAAUACUGACAUUCAUUAUGGGCUAAAGUCAAACAGUUUGGCGUUCAUUAAGCGUACACCAGUGA